UUCAAAUAAGAAAGAUGGUAACAACAACAGAUCCUUUUCACUUUUAUAUAUAAAUUGGAAAUACCACUUUAAUAUCAAAGUCAAGAUCUUUAUUAGGGUUUAAUAAUCUAAUACUUUAUAUCAAUUUGGAGCUCUCAAAUACACAUAUAUAACCUCACAGUCCAAUCAAAGCGUAGCAAACCAACUAAAAAUGCAGGAAUAGUGUUACUGCAACAGUUAAUUGAGCUUCAAAGAUGCAAAAUCAAAUAACCAAAACUCACAUUUCAUCUCACAUUGCAAAAUUAAAUAAUUGCAACAAUCAAGUGUGCUUCAAACUCACAUCGUAACUAGUAAACUGAUUAAUAAAAACACUUUUAAUUUCAUUUAGGCAAUUCAACAAACAGUUGACGAGCAAGGAUGAUGGGGCAUAACAUAUGUAAUAAAACAAUCUGCUACAAAUAUUAUUGAAGAGUUCCAGAGUUAUAAAUUAACAAAUUGAGGGAAAAGUGACGAAAACUAGAGAUGUAGAGCACAUUUUCAGAGUUGAGAUUGAUGUAAAGUUUCUAAAUUAGAUCAAAAAGUUUACCUUUAGGGUUAGAGAUGAAAUCAAUGUAGAAGUUGUUUAAUUGAUUAUGGAUAAGAUGAUUUCAGAGACGAAUCGACGAUUUCAGAUGCUAGAUCGAGCAAGAGACGAAUUCAAUCAUCACCCUUCAUGCGAUUUCAGAGACCCGCUCAAUUUCUUGUUCAACCCUCUUUCACCCCUUUCUCCUGACCCGCUGUGAACCGUUCCAGCCUUUUUAUCUUUUAAAUUUUACCCGUUUUGACCCAUCAAAAAUAUUUAUUAAACCCAA
rnacentral:lncRNA from 1 species